rnacentral:rRNA from 1 species
GGAGACUGCCGGCAGCUUACCAUGCAAGUCGAGCGGUAACAGGGGUAGCUUGCUACCCGCUGACGAGCGGCGGACGGGUGAGUAAUGCAUAGGAAACUGCCCAGUAGUGGGGGAUAGCCCGGGGAAACCCGGAUUAAUACCGCAUACGUCCUUCGGGAGAAAGCAGGGGAUCUUCGGACCUUGCGCUAUUGGAUGUGCCUAUGUCGGAUUAGCUGGUUGGUGAGGUAAUGGCUCACCAAGGCGACGAUCCGUAGCUGGUCUGAGAGGAUGAUCAGCCACAUCGGGACUGAGACACGGCCCGAACUCCUACGGGAGGCAGCAGUGGGGAAUAUUGGACAAUGGGGGCAACCCUGAUCCAGCCAUGCCGCGUGUGUGAAGAAGGCUUUCGGGUUGUAAAGCACUUUCAGUGAGGAGGAAAAGUUAGUCCUUAAUACGGGCUAGCCUUGACGUUACUCACAGAAGAAGCACCGGCUAACUCCGUGCCAGCAGCCGCGGUAAUACGGAGGGUGCAAGCGUUAAUCGGAAUUACUGGGCGUAAAGCGCGCGUAGGUGGUUUGAUAAGCGAGAUGUGAAAGCCCCGGGCUUAACCUGGGAACGGCAUUUCGAACUGUCAGGCUAGAGUGUGGUAGAGGGUAGUGGAAUUUCCUGUGUAGCGGUGAAAUGCGUAGAUAUAGGAAGGAACACCAGUGGCGAAGGCGGCUACCUGGACCAACACUGACACUGAGGUGCGAAAGCGUGGGGAGCAAACAGGAUUAGAUACCUUGGUAGUCA